rnacentral:lncRNA from 1 species
GAGGUAUGGGACUGUAGGUGGAGGUAUGGGACUGUAGGUGGAGGUAUAGAGGUAUGGGACUGUAGGUGGAGGUAUAGAGGUAUGGGACUGUAGGUGGAGGUAUAGAGAUAUGGGACUGUAGGUGGAGGUAUAGAGGUAUGGGACUGUAGGUGGAGGUAUAGAGGUAUGGGACUGUAGGUGGAGGUAUAGAGGUAUGGGACUGUAGGUGGAGGUAUAGAGGUAUGGGACUGUAGGUGGAGGUAUAGAGGUAUGGGACUGUAGGUGGAGGUAUGGGACUGUAGGUGGAGCUAUAGAGGUAUGGGACUGUAGGUGGAGGUAUAGUGGUAUGGGACUGUAGGUGGAGGUAUAGAGGUAUGGGACUGUAGGUGGAGGUAUGGGACUGUAGGUGGAGGUAAAGAGGUAUGGGACUGUAGGUGGAGGUAUAGAGGUAUGGGACUGUAGGUGGAGGUAUAGAGGUAUGGGACUGUAGGUGGAGGUAUGGGACUGUAGGUGGAGGUAUAGAGGUAUGGGACUGUAGGUGGAGGUAUAGAGGUAUGGGACUGUAGGUGGAGGUAUAGAGGUAUGGGACUGUAGGUGGAGGUAUCGAGGUAUGGGACUGUAGGUGGAGGUAUAGAGGUAUGGGACUGUAGGUGGAGGUAUCGAGGUAUGGGACUGUAGGUGGAGGUAUAGAGGUAUGGGA